rnacentral:rRNA from 1 species
AUUGAACGCUGGCGGCAUGCCUUACACAUGCAAGUCGAACGGUAACAGGUCUUCGGAUGCUGACGAGUGGCGAACGGGUGAGUAAUACAUCGGAACGUGCCUAGUAGUGGGGGAUAACUACUCGAAAGAGUGGCUAAUACCGCAUGAGAUCUACGGAUGAAAGCAGGGGAUCGCAAGACCUUGUGCUACUGGAGCGGCCGAUGGCAGAUUAGGUAGUUGGUGGGAUAAAAGCUUACCAAGCCGACGAUCUGUAGCUGGUCUGAGAGGACGAUCAGCCACACUGGGACUGAGAAACUGCCCAGACUCCAUCGGGAGGCAGCAGUGGGGAAUUUUGGACGAUGAGCGCAAGCCUGAUCCAGCAAUGCCGCGUGCAGGAUGAGGGCCUUCGGGUUGUAAACUGCUUUUGUACGGAACGAAAAGCCCCGGGUUAAUACCCUGGGGUCAUGACGGUACCGUAAGAAUAAGCACCGGCUAACUACGUGCCAGCCGCCGCCGUAA